rnacentral:rRNA from 1 species
UACGUAGGGGGCGAGCGUUGUCCGGAGUUACUGGGCGUAAAGGGCGUGCAGGCGGUGCGGUAAGUUUGGAGUGACAGUACCCGGCUUAACUGGGUAAGGUCUUCAAAAACUGUCGGACUAGAGGGCCAGAGAGGGACAUAGAAUUCCGGGUGGAGUGGUGAAAUGCGUAGAUAUCCGGAGGAAUACCAAAGGCGAAGGCAGUGUCCUGGCUGGUACCUGACGCUGAGGCGCGAAAGCUAGGGGAGCGAAC